GAUGAACGCUAGCUACAGGCUUAACACAUGCAAGUCGAGGGGCAGCAUGGUCUUAGCUUGCUAAGGCCGAUGGCGACCGGCGCACGGGUGAGUAACACGUAUCCAACCUGCCGUCUACUCUUGGACAGCCUUCUGAAAGGAAGAUUAAUACAAGGUGGCAUCAUGAGUUCACAUGUUCACAUGAUUAAAGGUAUUCCGGUAGACGAUGGGGAUGCGUUCCAUUAGAUAGUAGGCGGGGUAACGGCCCACCUAGUCUUCGAUGGAUAGGGGUUCUGAGAGGAAGGUCCCACACAUUGGAACUGAGACACGGUCCAAACUCCUACGGGAGGCAGCAGUGAGGAAUAUUGGUCAAUGGGCGAGAGCCUGAACCAGCCAAGUAGCGUGAAGGAUGACUGCCCUAUGGGUUGUAAACUUCUUUUAUAAAGGAAUAAAGUCGGGUAUGUAUACCCGUUUGCAUGUACUUUAUGAAUAAGGAUCGGCUAACUCCGUG
rnacentral:rRNA from 1 species